AAUUCAUAUCACACACGAAGUAGAACAUUUUAAGAUGAGGAGCUUAAGGCUUGGAGAAACUAACUUGUGAAGCUUCCUUGAGAUGGCUACUUAUGUGAACUGAAAUACGGAUAAGGAAGCAUAUCUGGUUCUAAUUUCUGAACUCAACACCAGAUGUUUUCAAGGCGGCACAGUGGUAAAGAAUCCGCCUCCAAUAUAGGAGAUGCAGAAGAUGUGGGUUCAAUCCCUGGGUCGGGAAGAUCUCCUGGAGUAGGAAAUGGCAACGUACUCCAGUGUUCUUUGCCUGGAAAAUUCCAUAGAGGAACCUGGCGGGCUACAGUCCUUGGGGUCCAAAGAAUCGGACACAAUUGAACCUGCACACCCUUUGCUCUACAAAUUUGUGCCGUGGAGUCACGUGAGUCACGCUCCUUGUGGUUGGAAAGAAAUGUAAUUUUUGACAACUUCAGGCUUCAAAAUCACUGCUGAUGGUGAUCGCAGCCAUGAAAUUAAAAGACGCUUACUCCUUGGAAGGAAAGUUAUGACCAACCUAGAUAACAGAGGCAUUAUUACUUUGCCAACAAAGGUCCAUCUAGUCAAGACUAUGGUUUUUCCAGUGGUCAUGUAUGGAUGUGAGAGUUGGACUGUGAAGAAAGCUGAGUGCUGAAGAGUUGAUGCUUUUGAUCUGAUGAACAGUUGAUGCUUUUGAACUGUGGUGUUGGAGAAGACUCUUGAAAGUCCCUUGGACUGCAGCUAGUUGGACUUUGCUGUAGAACACAGGGAACUCAAAGCCAAUGCUUU